GCCCGACACCACGCUGGCCCGUGGGGUAGUCGCCGCACGCCGAGCACCGGCAGGCUGCGCAGCCGUCGACCAUGAUUUUGCCAAGGUUAGCCCCCGCACUGUCUCGUGAGCAUCAAUUCAUUUUACUUUAAUUGCUUAUAAGAUGAGAUGCGUGGUGUUUUUAUAUAUAUAUGCAAGGGUGGUAACCAGCGUUUUCUGAUUGGUCUGUGUCCGUGCUCUUGUCCUCAGAUGGAAUCCUGAAUUACUGAAAUAUUACGCGUACUUUGGAACUGAUAUGACAUUUCUUUUAUAAAUCCAGCCGUGCAGGCGGAUUGUAAGUGUUACAUUUGUUUCAAUAUCGAGUUUACUUGUGAGUUGAGACUAAAAACCCAGUAAAUUUCAUGAAUUGGAAGUAAAACCAAUGAAUUUGGUAUCUCCAUGGCACACGAUUUCUAUUACAUACGUCUUAAGUAAAAAUCAUGUGAAUUCCAUAUCUCUUGCUGGCACACGAUUUCUAUUAUGCUAAAUAGGAUGUUGAUAUUAAAAUAUGUAAUUUGAGAUAUCCAUAAAUGUAAAUAUAUAAGAUGGGUAUCAGUAUCCAACUAUCCAUAUACAUGAAUAUAUAAAUACAAAUAUCUAAGUUCAGGUACGGUAUCAAAUGUUAAAUAUUCAGGCUCCUAUCCUAACCGAUCUAAACUCAAAUAAACGAAUUUACACUCAGAUACGAUCGACUACAAACAAAUUCAGACCAGGAAAAAUAUUUCGUGCCAUUUGCACCAGUGAAACCCAGUUCUUUUUUCCCCCGAAAGCACGGCAAGAGAAUUGACGUGGCUAAACUUUUAUUAGGUACCGCACACGUCACACCCAAAACAAACCCAGUUGUGGCUGCCACUUUCGUUCUCUCUUCAGUUUUACGCUACUAUUUGUCACCUUGCAGCGUUGUAAAGCGCCAUGUAGGAAAGAAGAUGCCCAGCGACGCGACACGAAAUAAGCAGCAAAGCUUCGAUUCCAAAUCUCGGUAUGGUACAGAUACUCUUAUAGGUACAUACGCCAACGGGCAACCUUGCCAUAGACAUUUCUGUCCAGGCGCGCACUGUUUUCUCAGUGUUUCGUAUUAUUCUGCUACUAGGAGCAGGCCGAGUUUCACAUGUGUUAGCAGAUGCUACUCUAAAAUCAUCAUCUCCCAUCUCGACUACCACAAGGUCUCAAGAACAGUGUACAUGUAUUUGGUUCUGCAGAAUCAGAGGAAGUUCAGUAAGUUGCAAAGCCACAAGACAGAUAAUUUGAUCCGCAGGCACUGCAAGGGAAAGAACAGAACAGGAUGGAUAUCCUUUUACCU
rnacentral:lncRNA from 1 species